UUAUAUUCAGAUUGUAUCGAUAUAUAGUAUAGGAAAUUGUUAAAGGUCGAUUAGGCGAAUUGGCAUUACUUUUAACUAUGCCAUGUGAUGUACAUUUUUUUCGAGACAAUUGAUAUUUAAAUCGUGGGUAGGGAUAGAACAGAGAUCUGUUAUCCGCUGGGUGAAUUGGCGGUAUGAUUCAAUUCUUGUUUCAUUCGAUCCUUUUAUCAUUUGUAUAUCUGUGUUAAUUAAUGUCUAGUUUGGGAAAUUUUAUUUUUCUAUGGAGUAUGAAGAUUGUUUUCGUCUCGUCAAUCUAAUUGUUUAAAAAUUGUACGAUAUACUGUGGUCAAUAUGAGUGACGCGUUUCACGUUUAUUUCUUCUCUUCCUCUUUAGUAAAACUUUUCUUUGGGAGAAGAAAAUUGGAAUACGUUUUACAUAACGAAAUUUGUCAUUUCAUAAAAUACGAAGAAA